rnacentral:rRNA from 1 species
AAGUCGAGCGGUAACAGGAAGCAGCUUGGUGCUUUGCUGACGAGUGGCGGACGGGUGAGUAAUGUCUGGGAAACUGCCUGAUGGAGGGGGAUAACUACUGGAAACGGUGGCUAAUACCGCAUAACGUCGCAAGACCAAAGAGGGGGACCUUCGGGCCUCUUGCCAUCAGAUGUGCCCAGAUGGGAUUAGCUUGUUGGUGAGGUAACGGCUCACCAAGGCGACGAUCCCUAGCUGGUCUGAGAGGAUGACCAGCCACACUGGAACUGAGACACGGUCCAGACUCCUACGGGAGGCAGCAGUGGGGAAUAUUGCACAAUGGGCGCAAGCCUGAUGCAGCCAUGCCGCGUGUAUGAAGAAGGCCUUCGGGUUGUAAAGUACUUUCAGC